GUCUCGUUCUUGGGGGGAUUUAUUGUAUGCUGUUCCAGUUCAACUGCUAGGAGUGUAAACCUAUUCGUAUGGUUUUUCCUAGUCAGCUGUUUACGGCAUUCAUAUGGUUUCCUGUUCCGUGGAUUGGUGUCUUUGGUAGCUGCCUGUAUAUCUGGAAGGGGAAUAUCUCCUAAAUGGCUUUUAACCCCUUUUAUGCCUGGGGUGCCAUUACA